UGAUUGUUUCAAAACAGAAAAGGAGAAAGCCAAAGGGAUUUUUAUUUUGUGUUGACAAUGAGCAGACACAAGCAGAUAAUGUCUGAACUGGGACAUGAGCUCAUCUAUCUGUUAGGUUUGACUCAUCAGGACUUUGCCUCACACAACAUUUCAAAACAUGAAUCACACUUUGGAACCAUCAUCCCUCAGAUAUCCUCCUAUUCUGCAUCCAAGGCUGACAGGUCUGGAUUAAAACAUUUCUCAAGGACAAAAACAUUUUUAGAUAAUACCCACGUCUCUUUAGGACUGAUAACAUUGCAGAUCAAAUGUGUCUUGGUGACAGCUUGUCCUUGAAGCCUACAUUUAUGGUAUUGGUUGACUUAGUGGAGAGGACAGAAUUGUAUCAGAAUUAAACAAAAAUGUAUAAUUUCAGAGUUAGAAUGUAAGGUCCACACUCUACGCUCAAAAAACAUGUUUGAGCAAGUGAACUUCACAACUCAAUUCCAAAUGAAACCCUAGACUCAACACCAUACAAACUUGCAGAUAUCUGUAAGGUUUUAUCCUAUAAUCAAUAUGGUGUGACCUAUUAGUUCUAGUUAUAUACAAAUUUGGCCCUGUGGCUAGAGAAAGUUUCACUAUAUACCUGAUAAGAGAAGCAGAAUAAAAGGUCUAAAGUUGAGAACCACUGCUGUAGGGCACAGGGUCUAGUGUUCCCUUUACAUCACUUAGAAAACCUGUUGGGGGAGUUUGUCAAACAUAAACAUAUAGAUGACCUGUUUUUGCAUGUUGUAAAUGAGGUGGAUUGGGGGCUCUGGUGGAAGGGGGCAAAGGUGCUGAGCCAUGGUACCAACAGUAGUGCAGGGGGGCUGAGCCAUGGUACCAACAAUAGUGCAGGGGUGUCAGUAUUUUUCUCCCUUGGUCUGGGCGUCAAUAUUAAGUUGUCAAAGGAAGUGUGUGGCGGCAGGUUGUUGGUUGUAAAGGCAGAGAUUGAGAAUGUGCUGUUUGUUUUUAAUAAAUGUGUAUGCACCUAGUACAGGGCGGGAGUGGGGAGUGUUUUUUGGGUGCUAACGCAAAGAGCUGGCACUGAUAGAACAGGCUGAGGUGCUGGUUUUAGGGGGGGGUUGGAACUGCAUGAUUGAUUUUACCAGGGACCGGAAUGGUGAGGAGCCACAUCCAGUCUCUGCAGGGGUGCUGAAUUAUGUAUUGAUUCAGUAUGACUUGGUGGAUGUUUGGGCAACUCUGCAUCCAACCACCAGACAGUAUACCUGGGUGAAGGUAGUCGGGGGGAGGGUUUGUAUAUACCUGGGUGAAGGUAGUCGGGGGAGGGUUAGUAUAUACCUGGGUGAAGGUAGUCGGGGGGAGGGUUUGUAUAUACCUGGGUGAAGGUAGUCGGGGGGAGGGUUAGUAUAUACCUGGGUGAAGGUAGUCGGGGGGAGGGUUAGUAUAUACCUGGGUGAAGGUAGUCGGGGGGAGGGUUAGUAUAUACCUGGGUGAAGGUAGUCGGGGGGAGGGUUAGUAUAUACCUGGGUGAAGGUAGUUGGGGGGAGGGUUUGUAUAUACCUGGGUGAAGGUAGUUGGGGGGAGGGUUAGUGCCUCUUGCCUGGAUCGUGUUUAUAUGUUCAGGCACCAGAACAAUAGGCUGGUGUCGGCCUCCAUACUCCCAGUUAGGUUUAUCAUAUUACCAGGUCUCAGCUCUCUGUUACACCGGGGCUCCGGCAUGCGUCCUACUGGAAAUGUAAUGUAAAGCCCUUACUAGAUGCUGCUUUUUGCUCUUGUUUUAUUAAAUUUUGGGGGUGUUGGGUGCAGCGGAAGGAUGAUUAUGAGUCUCUUAGUCUGUGGUGGGAUGUUGGGAGGACACAGAUUUGGCUUUUUUGUCAACAAUUUACGUCUUUUUCCUCAGCUGAAUCUAGGAGAGUGUUGGGGAAACUUGAACAGAACUUAAGUGAGACGGAGGCUGAGUUGCUCGGGCAAAACGGGGGGGGCUGGUUUCGAACCUGCCUGAAUUGCGUAGGGAUCUGGGUGCAUUUCUUGAGUUGAAAGCAAAGGGGGCACUUGUAAGAGCUAGGUUUUCUAUUUUGAAUGAGAUGGAUGCUCCCAGCUCCUCCUUUUUUGGCUUGGAAACACAGAGUGGAGAAAGGAAGCGUAUGCACUGUUUACGUAUGGCUGAUGGUCGGGUUUCUUCUGUUGUGGGGGAGAUGGGCGAGGUCUUCUGUUGUGGGGGAGAUGGGCGAGGUCUUCUGUUGUGGGGGAGAUGGGCGAGGUCUUCUGUUGUGGGGGAGAUGGGCGAGGUCUUCUGUUGUGGGGGAGAUGGGCGAGGUCUUCUGUUGUGGGAGAGAUGGGCGAGGUCUUCUGUUGUGGGGGAGAUGCAGGAGCGAGCUGUGGAGUUCUAUUCUGAUUUAUAUAGGGCUGAAAAGGUCACACUAUCACAGACAAUCUGUUUUUGAUCAGGGAUAUGUUGGAUUUGUCAGGGUCUUCGAAGACUGGUUUCUUUGGACCAGGAAAAGGCGUUUGACAGGGUGGAUCAUAUAUAUUUGUUUAGGGGGUUGUCUGCUUUUGGGAGUGGGGAGCGGUUUUUGUCCUGGGUUAAAAUGUUGUAUGCUGGGGCUUCUUGUCUGGUGAAGGUGGGAGGGGGGCUCAGUAGGCCUGUCCGGUGGGGAGGGGCAUACGUCAGGGUUGUCCUCUAUCUGGGCAGUUCUACACCCUUGCUAUUGAGCCCUUUUUGGGUCUGUUAUGCAGGAAACUGUCUCAGUCCUGUUGAAGGACCAGGAUGUCCUGGCGUUGGAGUCGUGUUUAAGGGUGUAUGAGGGGGAAUCAUCUGCCAGGUUGAACUGGGGUAAGAGUGGAGCAUUGCUGUGUGGGGCAUGGGGGGACAGGGUACCUCCUGGGCUUCCUGGGGGGUUGAACUGGGGUAAGAGUGGGGCAUUGCUGUGUGGGGCAUGGGGGGACAGGGUACCUCCUGGGCUUCCUGGGGGGUUGAACUGGGGUAAGAGUGGGGCAUUGCUGUGUGGGGCAUGGG
ensembl:lncRNA